AUGAGAAAUGCGCCAUCUUGUUCUUUGCCUCUUUGCUUGAAACACCCUUGUAACGAACUACAAUGUGUCACAUUGGACAGUGGCACUGGAAAGGUAAACACUUUUCUUUUCCUCAGUAGUUAUCCUCACACAUUCACAUCCUCUCAUGCACAUAGACUCUGUAUUUGUCACCACCCAGAUGUAGUACCGCCAAUGGUCAUACUAAGGAAACCUUCCCAAGAGUUCCUAAGCAAUUCAUUUGAUUUAUUGAAAUCACAUCUACAAUAUCUCUGCUUUCCAGCCAGCCUCCUUCUCAUCAGAUACCACAUCAAAUGCAGCAGAAGGGGUUCUCGGUGAAGGUGGGGACAUGGUGGAGAAGGCUGUAGAGAUCAGCACAAAAAAUCAGUCCUAGCUGGAAAAGAAUUUUGUUUCAAGGUUUUAUUUACCAUGUGAAUGUGUCACUUUCCUAUCAUGCUCCUGAAUCAAGAAUGAAAUAACAAGUGCUCUUGAUGGGCUGACAAACUAUAAUUUGGUGUUUGAAGGUUCUUUUCUAAAAUAAUAAAAAUGGAAGAAGAAAAAAAGAGAAGUGGAAU
rnacentral:lncRNA from 1 species